CCCUUAGAUGUCCUGGGCCGCACGCGCGCUACACUGAGUGUCUGAGAUACGAGUCUGCCUAGCCGGCGAGGUCUAGGUAAUCGCUGAAAGACACAUCAUGCUUGGGAUAGAUUAUUGCAGAUAUUAAUCUUGAACGAGGAAUUCCUAGUAAGCGCAAGUCAACAGCUUGCGUUGAUUACGUCCCUGCCCUUUGUACACACCGCCCGUCGCUACUACUGAUUGGAUGUUUAAGCGAGGUUCUCGAACUGCUAGCGACUUAGCUUCGGUGAGGUCGCCGUGUGGGAAGUGAACCGAGCUUUGGUGUCUAGAGGAAGUAAAAGUCGUAUCA
rnacentral:rRNA from 1 species